UACGUAGGGUGCGAGCGUUAAUCGGAAUUACUGGGCGUAAAGCGUGCGCAGGCGGUUCGUUGUGUCGGCGGUGAAAGCCCCGGGCUUAACCUGGGAAUGGCCGUUGAAACUGGCGAGCUGGAGUGUGGCAGAGGGGGGUGGAAUUCCGCGUGUAGCGGUGAAAUGCGUAGAGAUGCGGAGGAACACCGAUGGCGAAGGCAGCCCCCUGGGCUAACACUGACGCUCAGGCACGAAAGCGUGGGGAGCAAACAGG
rnacentral:rRNA from 1 species